CGUAGGGGCGAGCGUUAUCCGGAAUUAUUGGGCGUAAAGCGCGCGCAGGCGGCCGAUUAAAGUCAGGUGUGAAAGGCUGCGGCUCAAACCGCAGAGCGGCACCUGAAACUUGGUCGGCUUGAGUGCAGGAGAGGGGGCGGAAUUCCCGUGUAGCGGUGGAAUGCGUAGAGAUCGGAGGAACACCAGUGGCGAAGGCGGCUCUCUGGCCUGUAACUGACGCUGAGGCGCGAAAGCGUGGGGGAGCAAACAGGAUU
rnacentral:rRNA from 1 species